AUACUCUGGUUUCUCUUCAGAUCGUAUAAAUCUUUCACCUUUCACUAAAGAUUUCCGUGGAUAACCAAAUACAGGUUAAAUGGGAAAAUAUUAGUAACACAAAACAGCAUCCCUGCA